rnacentral:rRNA from 1 species
AUUGAACGCUGGCGGCAUGCCUUACACAUGCAAGUCGAACGGUAACAGGUCUUCGGAUGCUGACGAGUGGCGAACGGGUGAGUAAUACAUCGGAACGUGCCUAGUAGUGGGGGAUAACUACUCGAAAGAGUGGCUAAUACCGCAUGAGAUCUACGGAUGAAAGCAGGGGAUCGCAAGACCUUGUGCUACUAGAGCGGCCGAUGGCAGAUUAGGUAGUUGGUGGGAUAAAAGCUUACCAAGCCGACGAUCUGUAGCUGGUCUGAGAGGACGAUCAGCCACACUGGGACUGAGACACGGCCCAGACUCCUACGGGAGGCAGCAGUGGGGAAUUUUGGACAAUGGGCGAAAGCCUGAUCCAGCAAUGCCGCGUGCAGGAUGAAGGCCUUCGGGUUGUAAACUGCUUUUGUACGGAACGAAAAGCCCCGGGUUAAUGCCCUGGGGUCAUGACGGUACCGUAAGAAUAAGCACCGGCUAACUACGCGCCAGCCGCCGCGGUAA